AGAGUUUGAUCCUGGCUCAGGACGAACGCUGGCGGCGUGCCUAAUACAUGCAAGUGGAACGCAUUGGUAACACCGGACUUGCUCCAGUGUUACUAAUGAGUCGCGAACGGGUGAGUAACGCGUAGGUAACCUGCCUGAUAGCGGGGGAUAACUAUUGGAAACGAUAGCUAAUACCGCAUAAGAGGAGUUAACUCAUGUUAACUGUUUAAAAGAAGCAAUGGCUUCACUAUCAGAUGGACCUGCGUUGUAUUAGCUAGUAGGUAGGGUAACGGCCUACCUAGGCAACGAUACAUAGCCGACCUGAGAGGGUGAUCGGCCACACUGGGACUGAGACACGGCCCAGACUCCUACGGGAGGCAGCAGUAGGGAAUCUUCGGCAAUGGACGCAAGUCUGACCGAGCAACGCCGCGUGAGUGAAGACGGUUUUCGGAUCGUAAAGCUCUGUUGUAGGGGAAGAACGUGUGUAAGAGUGGAAAGCUUACACAGUGACGGUACCCUACCAGAAAGGGACGGCUAACUACGUGCCAGCAGCCGCGGUAAUACGUAGGUCCCGAGCGUUGUCCGGAUUUAUUGGGCGUAAAGCGAGCGCAGGCGGUUUGAUAAGUCUGAAGUUAAAGGCUGUGGCUCAACCAUAGUUCGCUUUGGAAACUGUCAAACUUGAGUGCAGAAGGGGAGAGUGGAAUUCCAUGUGUAGCGGUGAAAUGCGUAGAUAUAUGGAGGAACACCGGUGGCGAAAGCGGCUCUCUGGUCUGUAACUGACGCUGAGGCUCGAAAGCGUGGGGAGCGAACAGGAUUAGAUACCCUGGUAGUCCACGCCGUAAACGAUGAGUGCUAGGUGUUGGAUCCUUUCCGGGAUUCAGUGCCGCAGCUAACGCAUUAAGCACUCCGCCUGGGGAGUACGACCGCAAGGUUGAAACUCAA
rnacentral:rRNA from 1 species